GUGCUGUUCGGCUACAACAUGUGCAUGUACGAGUGGGAUCUCUUCUGCGGCGUAAAUCCGAUGUGAACUGACCUUGCAGUAUAACCGUCGCGGGUGUCUAGAUGUGUAUUGGCUCCUCCCUUUUUCCACCAUGGCUGACAAGUCUGGAAAUGGCCUUAGCCUGCUAAGCGAUCUUCAAAGGGAGAUAACACACGAUCAAGCUAAAGAGGCAUUUGACAACAAUGACUUCAGACAUGCAACUGAACUCUACACAGAGCUACUAAAGACCAAUAAUAUUAAUGUCCAGUACCUUAUCAACAGAGCCAUUGCUUACGUGCAAUUGGAACAACCGGUCAAAUCACUUGAGGAUUCCAAAACGAUCAUCAGCGUAGAGGCUUUUAACCCCAAGGGUUAUUUGCUGGCAGGACGAUCAUGCCUGAUGCUGAAGCGAUUCGAAGACGCUUUGUCGUUUUAUCAAAGAGGCCUACAAGUGGAUCCCAAAAACAAGGAGAUUGCCUCCGAUCUCAAAAACAUGCAGAAAGUCAUUGUGAAGGAAUAUGAAGCCAGAGGAUCAGAGAAAGGGUACAACGCCGUGAAGUUCUGCUCCCAAGAUCCUUAUCCCGGGGACGACGCCCUUCUGGUUAUGGAGCAGGAAAUCCUUGAUAUGAAGCAUCUACGAAAGGCGAAAACAUUGACAGAGAUGGCACCGACCAACAAGCGUGACCCCAAGGUAGCGGUAAACGAGGCAAUGAUAGGAGAACAGCACAGACGGCGUGGGGACUACCCGCGGGCUCUGCAUCACUUGGGGAAUGCUGUGGUGCUGGACCCGGCGAAUAUCUCUGUCAGGUAUUUGAGGGCUUUGGCGUACCAUCAACAUGGCGACGCGCCGUCUGCUAUAGCUGAUUUGAUAGCUAUUCCUAAACCGGCAAGACAUAAAGACGUCUGGAAAUCAGGAGGAACUAUCCUACAAGAUCUGCACCUGCCGGUGAUGGCCGAACUAUGGCUUCGUCGUGCCACGAGGCUCAGCGAAGACGGCGAUGACGAAUGCGCCAUGAUGUUCCAGGAAGCGCGCGUCAAACGUCUGUACGAUCCCAUGACCGUGCACUUUCCCGUUCGGGUCAGGUUUACUGUAUACGGUAGGGCAGUGUAUUCCAAGACGGAUAUUGGCAAGGAUACAAUUGUGAUGAAGGACGAGCCUAUUGUCUGUGGCAAUAGCUUAGACACUUGGAAGCAACCGGCGUGCCAUCACUGCGGGAGGUCCCUGAUGACGAUGAUGGAUUAUUUCGGCAACACAAACCAUCUGAGCGAACACCAGCGCCAAGUAGUUGAGGAGAACUGGCCUGAGGUGGAAGUCGUCCCUUGUGACUUCUGCCAGAAAGAGGUGUACUGUAGCGCGUUUUGUCGCCAGGAGGCCUGGGAGCGCUUCCACUCCGUUCUCUGCCCUUCCAAGUCCCCUGCCGUCAGUAAGCUGUAUGAAAUAUGUGAAAAUAACGGUAAGAUGUAUGAUAGUCAGACGAGGACGUGGAAAGAGGUGUGGGCAGCGGCCUUCACGCCUUUCAUCCUGGCCAAGAUGUGGGCUUUCGUGGUGUGUCAGGUGAGGAAGUUGAUGAAGGAGGACGGGUCGGAGGAACCCAGCUUGGAACACUGGGCCAAGGCUAAGGCUCCCCUCAGAAGGUUUAUUGCCUUUGGAGCUACAGAGGCCUCUGGGCGUUUCCCGGAAGUAAUGAAGCUUAUGCAGGAGAUCUUCAGUACCUGUGAUCCGGUCGUCCGCUAUGACAUCAGUGAGAAGGAGUUCGAUGGUAGAUACUUCCAGGCCACCUGCAAUUUACAGUCCUUCAGCUCCCCUUUGAAUGGCUACAAGGAGUUCAUCAAUAAGCUGAACAGCCUGGACGUCCUCAAGACGAUGACCAUGCUGAAGGUGGUAGAGGAAAAACCGAAGGAAGCCCUUUUCACAGGCCUAUUUCCUCUCCACGCCUGCCUGAACCACUCAUGUCUGAACACGGUAGAAGUGAUGGACGGAGAGUACCGGGGAAAACCUGGCAUCUGGGUUAGGGCAAAGCGAGACAUUCGGGCUGAUGAAGAGCUCUUCACUACCUAUAUCGACACAAAGAUGCCCCGGAAACUCCGAAGAGCUUGGCUCUACAGGUCCUUCAACUUUUGGUGCCAGUGUAGACGUUGCCAGUUUGAAGGGGACGAGCCGGAAACGUGCACAAACUGCUUCACCACAGCACCACCAGGCAAGAAGUUCCCAGGCUGUGGCAAGUGCAAGAAAGCCUGGUACUGCUCAGUGAAGUGCCAGAAACAAUCGUGGCAGAAGGGCCAUAAGGAGAUAUGUAAGACACCUCAUUCUUCUACUACCUGUCCUAACGACACAGAAUACGUAAUUGAACGUUUCCUGUGUUAACACAUAUAACCUGUUUCUAUAGAUGAGUUUGCUGGUACACUUCAUGCACACCUGCUUAAUUUGGAGCCGUUGCAUAUUAAUUUACUGUAAAUCUUCAACCUUUUCAACCACCAAAGCACUGCAGUGGAAUUUAUGCAUACAGUUAUUAUGAAAAACGCUAAAAUAACGUGUUUGUAUCAUCAAAGACGUAAGCUUCAUAAAACUGUGGAGAUUAUUUCUCUGCACCGCAUACCUUUAUCAGAGUGUUUCAAAAUAUUGGCUGCAGAGGCGGUUGAAAAAACUGAAGAAUUAGGGUAUUACAACCUAUAAAAGGAGAUUUAACUGUGUUUUAACAAGACUGCAAUUUUUUAAAAAUUAAAAAUAUUUACUGUGUUAUAACUUAUAAAACACAAACUGUAUAUAUUACUGCUUUCGACUAACUAUUACCGUUUUAUAUUUCCUUAACACGUAUGCGCAACACAAGCAAACAAGCCCGCGUAGGGCCUAUGUACAAUUAAUGUCACGGAUUGUUUGAGUAUAGUCAUGUUUUUGUUGUCUUCAUAUUAACUUAUGUUGUCUAAACUGAUUGAACAUUGAUUGUGCUAAUGUAAUAACACAUUUCAGAUAGCGAAUUCAUCCAUUUCAAGAUCUGAAUAGGAAAUGCCACUGACAAAUGGAUUGUUAUGUUGGUGAUUUUCUUAUGUACAACCGAUAAUUAUUUAUUUAAUAUCAGUGUGUGUUUGCGUGUGUUUUAUUCGUCUUAAUGACAUCACAAAAUGCAAAAAGAGACAGUAUUAUACCGAUGCAUACAUGUCUGUUCAAUUUGAUCGAUCUCAUUCAAAUAUGAUCAUGUGCUAUUUUUAAAUUUACACUUCACAAAAAUGUGAAAUGUCUGUCACCACCUGAAAAUUUACAUAAAAGUUCCGACUUUCAUUCGUAUGUGAAUGAACAUAAAGCCAUUUUCACACCCGUCAUUCCGUUCAUCCUAUAAUUUCAUCAUACAUAUAACCGUUAAUAUUUUUGGUUAAAAUAUAUUAUAGGUAUGCACUAUAUGGGAUGAGAAUUCCAGACAUGAUUGUACGGGAGACUCAUUCGGUAUGGUUUUGACGUUUUGCUGUUGUUGUUCUAGCGUUUCAUGUGUAUAGUGGAGAGUUGGCAUUUGUGAUUGAUUUGACCAGUAUUGCUCUAUUCUACUUCUGGUCCCAGGAAGAAGUGUAGUAUUUCGUAAGACACUUCACAUCAGUGGCUUUUUCUUUGCUAUUCAGUACUAUGGAUGGCUGCACUGGAACUGUGUAAAUGUAGAUAUGUUGUUGUGUGUGUAUGUGUAAUUAUGUAUUUCGCAAACAAUCACCGUCUGAUCAUAUGUGUAGAUUUUCUUUGGAUUACCGUAGCUGUUUGUAUUAGGUGAUUCAAGGGAGCUAACUCCUGGAGUUGUGCGAUUGUUUAUUAGUACAGAUGCAUUUACUAGUGCUCUAUACAACUGUUCCUGUAAUGCCACGUUUUCUCACGCCUGAAAAUAUCCAUUAUGUGCUAACUUCCGUUGCAUUCUGGGACAACGUUCCUAGGGUGGUAGUAGUCUCUAGCUUCCAUUAAAUUUGCAUUGUGAACGGCUGUCAAUGUGCAUUGCAAGUAUGGUGUGAUUCUGGUUGCAAUCGACAAACAGAUAGCGGAGGAUGCGGAGAAAGCCAACCUACCUAAUAUGUGAUUAGGACAGAACCACUGCACUGGGAAGGCAUAAGGUCAUUUAUAUGAACGAUAACUAUGGAGUGGUGCAUAUCUGCGUGCACCACUCAUCAGAAAAUACGCACACAUUCUUCGUGCUGGUAACUCGUUCCUGUACAAAUAUAUUGGGUUAUCUCACCAGGUUAUUGUUAGGGUAAUAGGCAUGUUUGUCUUUGUGCUUCUGGUGGCAUAUACGUUCAGAUAAAGACAGUGGCUUGACCGAAGAUUAUAUUGUGCGUGAUAUUGUAAAACUUCUUAAAGAGCGUAAGUGUCAAGCUAAAGAAACAGUAUUGUGAUACAGAGUAUAAUAAAGUACGAAGCCAACCACAUGUCCGCGAAGCGU